rnacentral:rRNA from 1 species
UACGAAGGGGGCUAGCGUUGUUCGGAAUACUGGGCGUAAAGCGUGCGCAGGCGGCCAUCCAAGUCAGUGGUGAAAGCCCGGAGCUCAACUCCGGAAUUGCCAUUGAAACUGUUCGGCUCGAGUACGAGAGAGGUGAGUGGAAUUCCCAGUGUAGAGGUGAAAUUCGUAGAUAUUGGGAAGAACACCGGUGGCGAAGGCGGCUCACUGGCUCGUAACUGACGCUCAUGCACGACAGCGUGGGGAUC